AGAGUUUGAUCAUGGCUCAGGACGAACGCUGGCGGCGUGCUUAACACAUGCAAGUCGAACGGUGAACUCCGCUUGCGGGGGGAUCAGUGGCGAACGGGUGAGUAACACGUGGGCAACCUGCCCUCAGCUCUGGGAUAACUCCAAGAAAUUGGGGCUAAUACCGGAUAUGACCGCUGACCGCAUGGUCUGGUGGUGGAAAGAUUUAUCGGCUGGGGAUGGGCCCGCGGCCUAUCAGCUUGUUGGUGGGGUAGUGGCCUACCAAGGCGACGACGGGUAGCCGGCCUGAGAGGGUGACCGGCCACACUGGGACUGAGACACGGCCCAGACUCCUACGGGAGGCAGCAGUGGGGAAUAUUGCGCAAUGGGCGAAAGCCUGACGCAGCGACGCCGCGUGGGGGAUGACGGCCUUCGGGUUGUAAACCUCUUUCAGCAGGGACGAAGCGAAAGUGAUGGUACCUGCAGAAGAAGCACCGGCCAACUACGUGCCAGCAGCCGCGGUAAUACGUAGGGGUGCAAGCGUUGUCCGGAAUUAUUGGGCGUAAAGAGCUCGUAGGCGGUUUGUUGCGUCGGCUGUGAAAACCUGAGGCUCAACCUCAGGCCUGCAGUCGAUACGAGCAGACUAGAGUGUUGCAGGGGAGACUGGAAUUCCUGGUGUAGCGGUGAAAUGCGCGAUAUCAGGAGGAACACCGGUGGCGAAGGCGGGUCUCUGGGCAACAACUGACGCUGAGGAGCGAAAGCGUGGGGAGCGAACAGGAUUAGAUACCCUAGUAGUCC
rnacentral:rRNA from 1 species